rnacentral:rRNA from 1 species
GCCUACGGGAGGCAGCAGUGAGGAAUAUUGGUCAAUGGGCGGAAGCCUGAACCAGCCAAGUCGCGUGAGGGAAUAAGGCCCUACGGGUCGUAAACCUCUUUUGCCGGGGAGCAAGGGCGGGGACGUGUCCCGGCCCGGAGAGUACCCGGAGAAAAAGCAUCGGCUAACUCCGUGCCAGCAGCCGCGGUAAUACGGAGGAUGCGAGCGUUAUCCGGAUUUAUUGGGUUUAAAGGGUGCGUAGGCGGGCUUUUGAGUCAGCGGUAAAAAGUCGGGGCCCAACCCCUUCCCGUCGUCGA